rnacentral:rRNA from 1 species
UACGUAGGGGGCAAGCGUUGUCCGGAUUUAUUGGGCGUAAAGAGCGUGUAGGCGGCCUUACAGGUCAGCUGUGAAAACUCGAGGCUCAACCUCGAGACGUCGGUUGAAACCGUAAGGCUAGAGUCCGGAAGAGGAGAGUGGAAUUCCCGGUGUAGCGGUGAAGUGCGCAGAUAUCGGGAAGAACACCCGUGGCGAAGGCGGCUCUCUGGGACGGUACUGACGCUGAGACGCGAAAGCGUGGGGAGCGAACAGG